rnacentral:rRNA from 1 species
GUGAGGAAUAUUGCGCAAUGGAGGCAACUCUGACGCAGCCAUGCCGCGUGCAGGAAGAAGGCGCUACGCGUUGUAAACUGCUUUUAACCGGGAAGAAACCCCAGGACGUGUCCUGGGUUGACGGUACCGGAGGAAUAAGCACCGGCUAACUUCGUGCCAGCAGCCGCGGUAAUACGAAGGGUGCAAGCGUUAUCCGGAUUCAUUGGGUUUAAAGGGUGCGUAGGCGGAGCGUUAAGUCAGUGGUGAAAUCCUGCAGCUUAACUGUAGACUUGCCAUUGAUGCUGGCGCUCUUGAGUGCGCUUGAAGGGGGCGGAAUGUGCCGUGUAGCGGUGAAAUGCUUAGAUAUGGCACAGAACACCAAUUGCGAAGGCAGCUCACUAAGGCGAUACUGACGCUGAGGCACGAAAGCGUGGGGAUCGAACAGGAUUAGAAACCCGGGUAGUCC